GGGAAGGUGGCUCAGUGGUAGAGCUCUUGCCGUGCAUGCAUGAGGCCCUGGGUUCGAUUCCUCACCAUCACA
rfam:Dipodomys ordii contig_41152, whole genome shotgun sequence.